rnacentral:rRNA from 1 species
UACGGGGGGGGGCAAGCGUUGUUCGGAAUUACUGGGCGUAAAGGGCUCGUAGGUGGCCAACUAAGUCGGACGUGAAAUCCCUCAGCUUAACUGGGGAACUGCGUCCGAUACUGGAUGGCUUGAGUUUGGGAGAGGGAUGCGGAAGUUCCAGGUGUAGCGGUGAAAUGCGUAGAUAUCUGGAGGAACACCGGUGGCGAAGGCGGCAUCCUGGACCAACACUGACACUGAGGAGCGAAAGCCAGGGGAGCAAACGGG